AUGCAAUGAUGUCUUGAAUUUCUUCACCUGAAACCAAGCAUGUAGUUUUAAGGGCUUUUUAACACUGAGCAUC